rnacentral:lncRNA from 10 species
GGAACAGCUGUCCGAGCCUUUGCUGCUUCAGGGCCUUAGAUCAGCAGGCCUGGGUGGGAGGACUCACCUCUGUCACUGGGCAGGGGCUCAACCUGGCCAGACACACUUGUGAGCAGCCCCAGGCCACAGGUCAGUUUUCUGAGCAGUCUGGGAGCGGGCAGGCUGGUGGGAGUGAGGAGAGACCUCCAGGCUGUGGUCCAUAGGCCAGUGCCCGCUCUUGAUCCUGACAGCUCAGGUUCUCUCCUUCACGUCAGGCCAUGGGAGGCACCGAGAACACAGGAAGCCCACUGACUCCCCUCUUCCCAGCGCGUGCCCGGCCCCACACUCACUCCCCCUCCCAGCAUGUGCCCGGCUUCACACUCACUCCCCUCUUCCCAGUGCAUGCCCGGCCCCACACUCACUCCCCCCACAGCAUGUGCCCGGCCUGACACUCACUCCCCUCCUCCCAGUGUGUGCCCAGCCCCACUCCCUUCCGCCCCGUGUGCCCAGCCCCACGCUCACUCCCCCCGCCAGCAUGUGCCCGGCCCCACACUCAACUCCCCUCCUCCCAGUGUGUGCCCGGCCCUGCUGCCCUCCUCCCCAUGUGCCCUGCUUUUGUGCCCCACACUUUUUACUUAGUGCAGGUGGGAUCACACGCCACGGGUCAAUGGUUUGUGUGUUCACGUGACGAUGGCGUGGUGACGUUUCCAGAUCCCGUCGUUGGUUCGCUCAUUCUCGGGGUGUAUAUUUAUUGAGAGCUCAUCAUGCUGGGUGCUAUUCCAGGCAUAGCAAGACUGGCUUCACUCACAUGGAGCUUUGAUUCUAGUGGUGGGGACAGGUGGACAGCAAAAGAGUAAGCACGUGAGCUGAUGAUACUGAAGGGAAAUAGAGCAGAGGGAGGAGGCGGAGACCGAGCCAAGCGGGCCCAAGUGCGAUGUCGGCGGGAGGUGGGGAAUGCUGGUGGGUCUGAGGGGAGCCUCAGCAGGUGCAGCAGAGCAAGGGAAGAGGUGAGUGGGGGCGGCUGGGGGGCCGACUCCUGGGAAGCUGUAGCAGAACCCCACAGAGAGCUGGUGAGGUUUGCCGUGGUUGUGGGUGACUCGGUGCUUUGAGCCCUGGCUGCCCCUGGGAACCAUCUGGAGAGCUUCUAACCCAACCAGGCCCCUCCCUGGGACAGUUAUAUCACAGCUGGUAAGCCGAGUCUAACACUUUCACGGAAACGCAGAAGAUCUAAAACAGCAAGA